CCCACGGGAGAGUCACCAGCGAGAGCGCUAGGGCAACCAUCACGUGACUAUCCGCAGUCUCCCAGGCGCUUCCCCCGCCCGGCGCUAGCGAGGAGCGCGGCCAAUGAGAAAAGCAUUGCUUGGCCCCCGCGGGUCCGCAGUCCAGCCGGAGUGCGCCUGCGCGCGGCGGGUUGGGGGCGGGGGCGCGCGGGGCUCCAGCCUAGAAGGCACCAGCGGGGCUGGGUCCCGGAGUGGGAAAACUGGAGUGCAGGGCAAAUAAAAGGCAAACUUGUUUCCUGCGCCAUGCCUCCCCUCCCCCACCCUUGGACCCUGCGGUCAGCCUUAUCGAAGACUGUUACCUUCUGCUUCUCUUGGUGAGCUACGGAGAUCAGAUAAGCUUGAUCUGUUGCUAUUCUUUGCUGGAUCCAUACUGUUUUUGGCUGGCUCCCUGUGAUGGGGUGGGGGUGGGGUGGGGGUGGGGGAAUCCCUACUUGUGCUCUUCUGCCUUUAACCAAACUGGGAUCAGACGUUGAGGGGGAAGGGGUUUUCAAAUUAUCCUUUCAGGUCUAGGCUGGAUCUUGCGGUGAGUGGUGAACCAAACUCCCUUUUGGAAUUUUCUUUUUUUUUAAAUCACAUUAAUGCGUGGAAUGAAUUUUUAAAAACGUGACAAAACCUGGGACGCGUCAACACCUGUGUUCGCUUUAUAAUUAUUUUUUUAACCCGCACAGAGAUAUUUUUCUCUUCUGUAAGUCGCUCAUAUUUCACGAUUUUAAAAAAGAAAAUAGGCGUAGGAUAAAAAGUGAUCCUGACGCACCCCCAAAUCCUGUUGUCAAGGCAACCACUUCUGACGCUGUUUCUUCUUUCAAUAAUAACCCUUCUCUACCUUUGUGCACUUCCUGCCUGGGUAGGGGAAAGGGGGUCCUGCCCCUCUUUCAUUGAGAGAGGUGGGCGGGAAAGGGGGAAUCCCUCCAACUUAUUUCUACAGCUGUGGCCUUAAAUUCUGUUUCGGAGAUACGAGAUGGUAGAUGGGAAACCCUCUUUAUCCCUUCAGCUGGAGCCUGGAUUUUUUUUUUAACACCAAAAACAUUCUGUAUUGGGAUAUAGUCAAUUAACCAUGUUGUGGUAGUUUCAGGUGAACAGGGAAGGGGCUCGGUCACACAUAUACAUAUAUCCAUCCCCACCCCCCCCCCCCCCCCCCCCCGCACACACACACUGGUAAGAAACAUUUUUUAAAUCCCUAUCAAAAUAUCAGUUGGCAUUUUUAAAAAAUUAAAUAGAGACUUCAAUACAGACUACAACAGAAAACCCACCAUCCCCUUAUCGCACACCCCGCGCUCUUCCCCUCCCAUAGCGUGGGUGGGCUGCGUCUUUUGAUUUU
rnacentral:lncRNA from 1 species